rnacentral:rRNA from 1 species
AUCAAGGCUGAGGCGUGAUGACGAGGCACUACGGUGCUGAAGCAACAAAUGCCCUGCUUCCAGGAAAAGCCUCUAAGCAUCAGGUAACAUCAAAUCGUACCCCAAACCGACACAGGUGGUCAGGUAGAGAAUACCAAGGCGCUUGAGAGAACUCGGGUGAAGGAACUAGGCAAAAUGGUGCCGUAACUUCGGGAGAAGGCACGC